GUCAAACAAAAUGUGCGCGACACAAAAAUAAAACAUAAAAAAAUCCAAAACAAUUAGGCAUUAAAAGCCAUUACAUUCAUUCUUCCUCGUCACACAAAUCAAUCGGGUUGCCCGCUACAGUCCCUGUGGUACCUUGUUUUGGUUGAGGACCGAAAUAGCAUGUCCUCCCGCUCCUCAACCUCGAGUGAUUGUACACCGGCACCUUCGAACCCUUCUUUUUU
rnacentral:lncRNA from 1 species